rnacentral:rRNA from 1 species
GAGCCUACGGGAGGCAGCAGUGAGGAAUAUUGGUCAAUGGCCGUAAGGCUGAACCAGCCAAGUAGCGUGAGGGAAGACUGCCCUAUGGGUUGUAAACCUCUUUUAUGCGGGGAUAAAGGUGUCCACGUGUGGAUGUUUGCAGGUACCGCAUGAAUAAGGACCGGCUAACUCCGUGCCAGCAGCCGCGGUAAUACGGAGGAUGCGAGCGUUAUCCGGAUUUAUUGGGUUUAAAGGGUGCGUAGGCGGAAUAUCAAGUCAGCGGUAAAAAUUCGGGGCUCAACCCCGUCGUGCCGUUGAAACUGAUG